GAUGAACGCUGGCGGCGUGCCUAAUACAUGCAAGUCGAGCGAACGGACGAGAAGCUUGCUUCUCUGAUGUUAGCGGCGGACGGGUGAGUAACACGUGGAUAACCUACCUAUAAGACUGGGAUAACUUCGGGAAACCGGAGCUAAUACCGGAUAAUAUUUUGAACCGCAUGAUUCAAAAGUGAAAGACGGUCUUGCUGUCACUUAUAGAUGGAUCCGCGCUGCAUUAGCUAGUUGGUAAGGUAACGGCUUACCAAGGCAACGAUGCAUAGCCGACCUGAGAGGGUGAUCGGCCACACUGGAACUGAGACACGAUCCAGACUCCUACGGGAGGCAGCAGUAGGGAAUCUUCCGCAAUGGGCGAAAGCCUGACGGAGCAACGCCGCGUGAGUGAUGAAGGUCUUCGGAUCGUAAAACUCUGUUAUUAGGGAAGAACAUAUGUGUAAGUAACUGUGCACAUCUUGACGGUACCUAAUCAGAAAGCCACGGCUAACUACGU
rnacentral:rRNA from 1 species